rnacentral:rRNA from 1 species
UAGUCCACGCCGUAAACGAUGGUCACUAGCUGUUCGGACUUCGGUCUGAGUGGCUAAGCGAAAGUGAUAAGUGACCCACCUGGGGAGUACGUUCGCAAGAAUGAAACUCAAAGGAAUUGACGGGGGCCCGCACAAGCGGUGGAGCAUGUGGUUUAAUUCGAUGAUACGCGAGGAACCUUACCAGGGCUUAAAUGUAAGUUGCAUUAGCUAGAGAUAGCUAUUUCUUCGGACUACUUACAAGGUGCUGCAUGGUUGUCGUCAGCUCGUGCCGUGAGGUGUCAGGUUAAGUCCCGCAACGAGCGCAACCCCUACUCGUUAGUUGCCAGCAUGUUAUGAUGGGGACUCUAACAGGACUGCCUACGCAAGUAGAGAGGAAGGAGGGGACGACGUCAAGUCAUCAUGGCCCUUACGCCCAGGGGCUACACACGUGCUACAAUGGGGAGAUACAGA